GAUGAACGCUGGCGGCGUGCCUAAUACAUGCCAGUCGAGCGAACAGACGAGGAGCUUGCUCCUCUGACGUUAGCGGCGGACGGGUGAGUAACACGUGGAUAACCUACCUAUAAGACUGGGAUAACUUCGGGAAACCGGAGCUAAUACCGGAUAAUAUAUUGAACCGCAUGGUUCAAUAGUGAAAGACGGUUUUGCUGUCACUUAUAGAUGGAUCCGCGCCGCAUUAGCUAGUUGGUAAGGUAACGGCUUACCAAGGCAACGAUGCGUAGCCGACCUGAGAGGAUGAUCAGCCACACUGGAACUGAGACACGGUCCAGACUCCUACGGGAGGCAGCAGUAGGGAAUCUUCCGCAAUGGGCGAAAGCCUGACGGAGCAACGCCGCGUGAGUGAUGAAGGUCUUCGGGUCGUAAAACUCUGUUAUUAGGGAAGAACAAAUGUGUAAGUAACUAUGCACGUCUUGACGGUACCUAAUCAGAAAGCCACGGCUAACUACGUG
rnacentral:rRNA from 1 species